UUUACUUUGUUUUGGAUAUUUGUCUAAUCUAGGAAUUUUUACGUUGUGUACUGUACAUUCAAAUUUUUUAUACGAUUUCUGAUAAUGGUUUUUAUAGUUACAAGAAUGCGGACAAAAAACUUUGUUGGUUCUAUUUACGUAUGAAAAUUGUAGUGUUUAUUUUUCAUUCCAUUAUUAACGAAGACGAAAGGAAAGAAAUAUAAUAAAGUAGGUAAUUAAUGGUCAGAAGUUGAUUCGUAAAUAAAAAUUAACAAAAUAGUUGUUAACGGUAUGUCGCCAUUUUAUGUGUCGUCGAUUACCUGUUUUUAUUUUAUUUUACGUUUCAUUUAUUUAAGAUUGAAGAUAAAUUAGAGAGGAGAUUGAAGUUUAUUUUAAUCUGAAUGCAAAAGCAAGUGGUCUAUGGUUUUUUAUCUGUUAACUUUUCAUCUUUGAGAUUCUUGCAGUUAAUUAAAGAACAUUAGAAAGCUCCAGAUGCCGUUAAAAUAAGGAACAUCGGUUGCAUCAGUCCUCAUUUGCUACAGGAAGUAGAUGUGUAUCUAUGGUCCUAAAGGAAGCAUGGAAGUGCCUUUUUUCCAUUCGGAUUGGAGACAGUGUGCUGUUGCUGAAGGAAGGAUUCAUGACAAU